GAACAGGCGCGCAAGGGCAUUUGGUGGAUGCCUUGGUGUCAGAUGCCGAUGAAGGACGCGGUACACUGCGAAAAACCCUGGUGAGGCGUGUGCAGCCGCAAGGAGCCGGGGGUAUCCGAAUGGGGAAACCCGUCACCCGUAGCGGGGUGACACUGUGUUGUAAGAGGCACAGGGGGAACCGGGCGAAGUGAAACAUCUGAGUAGCCCGAGGAGAGGAUAGGAUUCUGCGAGUAGUGGCGAGCGAAAGCGGAACAGCCCAAACCGUUGCCUGCGGGCGACGGGGUUGCAGGACUGGCGGGAGGGUCGCAAGCUGAAGCCGAAGGGUCUGGGAAGGCCCGCCGGAGGGGGUGAGAGUCCCGUAGGCGGAAGGGGAGCGAUCUGGCCGGGAUCCUGAGUAGUGCGGGACACGAGGAAUCCUGCAUGAAGCGGGGACGACCACGUUCCAAGGCUAAAUACAUCUGACGACCGAUAGCGGAGAGUACCGUGAGGGAAAGGUGAAAAGAACCCCGGCGAGGGGAGUGAAAGAGAAUCUGAAACCGGAUGCCUGCAAACGGUCAGAGCGGGGAGGGGCGACCCUUUCUGUGAUGGCGUGCCUUUUGGAGAAUGAGCCAGCGAGUCAAUUUCUGUGGCGAGCCUAAGGGUGGGACACCUGGAGGCGGAGCGAAAGCGAGUCUGAAGAGGGCGGUGGAGUGGCAGGGAUUGGACACGAAACCAGGUGAGCUACGCAUGGACAGGCCGAAGGCGCGGUAACACGCGAGGGAGGGCCGAACCCACGGCUGUUGCAAAAGUCGGGGAGGAUCUGUGUGUAGGGGUGAAAUGCCAAACGAACCUGGAGAUAGCUUGUUCUCCCCGAAACAGCUUUGGGGCUGGCGUCGCGUGAUAACUGGCGGGGGUAGGGCACUGUAUGGGGGAGGGGGCGCAAGGCUUACCGAACCCUGGCAAACCACGAAUACCGUCAGUGGAAGCGUGGCAGUUGGACCAUGGGAGAUGAGUUUCAUGGUCGAGAGGGAAAGAGCCCGGACCCGCGGCUGAGGUCCUUAAGGGGUGACUAAGUGGGAAACGAGGUCGUCGUGUCGAGACAGCCAGGAGGUUGGCCCAGAAGCAGCCAUCCUUGAAAGAGUGCGUAACAGCUCACUGGUCGAACGCGGUGGCGCGGAAAAUGGAACGGGGCUUAAGUCACCCGCCGAAGCCCGGGAGUGGGACCCUGAGGGGUUCUGCUGGUAGGGGAGCGUUCUGCAGGCGGUGAAGGCGAUCUGUGAGGGUUGCUGGAGCGUGCGGAAGUGCGAAUGCUGGCAUGAGUAGCGAGAAACAUGUGAGAACCAUGUUCGCCGAAAGCUCGAGGUUUCCGACGGAAGGUCAGUCCGCGUCGGGUUAGUCGGGCCUAAGCCGAGGCCGGAAGGCGCAGGCGAUGGACAACCGGUUAAUAUUCCGGUACCGGAUGGUGGAGCGGAUGCGCAGACCUGGGGAAAGUCUGGCCGCUGAGUGGAUUGCGGUGGCAAGCGGGUCACACCCGUGAUGUCGUCCCCUUCGGGGGAGGAAGCAGGCGGGACUCCGGGGCGAGAAAAGGCGCAUUGGCGGUGAAGUCAUCUGCCCGUACCACAAACCGACACAGGUAGGCGAGUUGAGGAUACGCAGGCGAACGGGAGAACCCUCGUUAAGGAACUGGGCAAAAAGGUCCCGUAACUUCGGGAGAAGGGACGCCACGUUGGGAGACGUGGUUGCAGUGAAGAGGCUCUGCCGACUGUUUAGCAAAAACACAGGUCUCUGCGAAAGCGCAAGCUGACGUAUAGGGGCUGACACCUGCCCGGUGCCGGAAGGUUAAGUGGAGGGGUGAAGGCAGGCGCGAGCGUGCCGGAAGCUCUGAAAUGAAGCCCCGGUGAACGGCGGCCGUAACUAUAACGGUCCUAAGGUAGCGAAGUUCCUUGUCGGGUAAGUUCCGACCCGCACGAAAGGUGUAACGAGCGGAGCGCUGUCUCAACGGGGGACCCGGCGAAAUUGAAGUACGUGUAAAGAUGCGCGUUACCCGCAGCAGGACAAAAAGACCCCGUGGAGCUUUACUGCAGCCUGUCAUGGCGUCAGGGCGCAUGUUGUGCAGGAUAGCCGGGAGACUGUGAAGCGAGGCCGCCAGGUUUCGUGGAGUCGCUGUUGAAAUACCGGCCUGGAUGCGAUUUGGUCCUAACCGUGGCGUCGGGAGCGGCGCGCGGGACAGUGGCAGGCGGGCAGUUUGACUGGGGCGGUCGCCUCCGAAAGGGUAACGGAGGCGCCCAAAGGUCGGCUCAGGCUGAAUGGAAACCAGCCGCAGAGUGCAAGGGCAGAAGCCGGCCUGACUGCGAGACGAACAGGUCGGGCAGGGACGAAAGUCGGGCCUAGUGAUCCCACGGUACCGUGUGGAAGGGCCGUGGCAUAACGGAUAAAAGCUACCCCGGGGAUAACAGGCUGGUCUUGUCCAAGAGUUCACAUCGACGACAAGGCUCGGCACCUCGAUGUCGGCUCAUCGCAUCCUGGGGCUGGAUCCGGUCCCAAGGGUUGGGCUGUUCGCCCAUUAAAGCGGUACGCGAGCUGGGUUCAGACCGUCGUGAGACAGGUCGGUCUCUAUCCGCUGCGGGCGCGGGGAGUUUGAGGGGAGCUGUUCCCAGUACGAGAGGACCGGAACGGACGCAGCGCUUGUGUACCGGUUGUCGCGCCAGCGGCAUGGCCGGGUAGCGAGCUGCGGAGUGGAUAAGCGCUGAAAGCAUCUAAGCGCGAAGCCAACCCCGGGAUGAGACUCCCGUUUCCGGAAGGGAGGGAGACCGCUGGGAGACGACCAGCUGGAUAGGCCGGACGUGGAAGUGCAGUAAUGGAUGGAGCGGACCGGUACUAAGGGUCGAGAGCCUGGGAUG
rnacentral:rRNA from 1 species